rnacentral:misc_RNA from 1 species
CUGACAUCAGCUGAUUUUUCACUCAUGGCCACGUUGGAAGAUACUGUUGCUUUGACAUACGUGUAAGCAGUGGCAUUUUGUCGGGGCGCAGUGUUUAUGUUCUUUUUUAUCAAUAAGGAUAUUAAUUAAAGGAGUUCCCAACUGCACCAAAAUGAAAGUAAAAGAAUUGGACAAAACCGUGAACCUAGCAUGGUCACCGGCCUAUCAGGUGCCCGUGAUGUUGGCUGCGGGGACCGCAGCUCAGCAACUGGAUGCGUCAUUCAGCACCUCUGCUGCCCUGGAGAUCUACGACAUAAACCUGAGUGAACCUGGCUUGGAUAUGGAGUUGAAAUCUAGUAUCCAAAGCCAGAACAGGUUCCAUAAGCUGGUGUGGGGAGCGACUGGUGCCGGAGGGAAUGGUGUUAUUGUGGGCGGCUGUGACAAUGGACGUCUCCAGAUGUACAAUGCCUCCCGAGUGUUGGCCGGGGACGACGGACUGCUCUGUGCUCCUGAAAGACACACCGGCCAUGUCAAAGCUGUGGAUUUCAACCCUUUCCAGACGAAUUUGCUAUCUACAGGAGCAUCAGAAAGCGAGAUAUUCAUUUGGGACUUAAACAACGUAAAGACUCCAAUGACGCCAGGAGCAAAGUCUCAGCCUGCUGAAGAAGUUGUUUGGUUGGCAUGGAAUAAGCAAGUUCAGCAUAUACUAGCUUCAGCCUUUUCAACCAGAUGUGUGGUGUGGGACUUAAGGAAAAAUGAACCAAUAAUCAAACUCAGCGACAGCAAUUCAAGGGUGCGAUGGAAAGUAGUGGCUUGGCACCCGGACGUCGCAACACAACUCUGCUUGGCCUCAGAAGAAGAUUCUAAUCCAGUUAUUCAGCUGUGGGACCUGCGUUUUGCGACAACACCUAUCAAGACCAUGGAGGGCCAUCACAAAGGCGUGCUGUCCAUAGCUUGGUGUGCUCAGGACCCUGAGUUGCUGGUCAGCUGUGGCAAGGACAGCCGCAUCCUGUUUUGGAACCCCAACUCAUCUCAGUCGGGAGGCGAGAUGGUGUGCGAGAUGGAAACCAGCAACCAGUGGAAUUUUGAGGUGAACUGGUGUCCUCGCAACCCGUCUCUGGUGGCCACCAGCAGCUUUGAUGGCCACGCCAGUGUCUUCUCCCUGGUCGGUGGGCAGCAGCAAAUGCAGACUAGCAAUAAGAUAGCUGACUCGUUUCCUGGCAUGGAGCAGUACGCAGAGGCUCCUGUAGUACAGCCGCCCCAACACGCUCCUCUCGCCGUGGAGCUGCGCAAGGCUCCCAAGUGGCUCAAACGACCAUCUGGAGCCUCUUUUGGUUUUGGUGGCAAGCUGGUGACGUUCUCCAGCGACAGUCAGGCCGUGAGUGUGUCACAGGUGGUGACAGAACCGAGUCUGGUGGAGCGCUCACAACGGCUACAGCAGCUGCUCGCCUCCGGUCAGCUGAGAGAGGUGUGUCACAGCAAGAGCGACCCGGUGUGGACCUUCGUGGCCGCGAGUCUGGAGCCUGACAGUCGCCUCGCCAUGCGAACACUGCUGGGCUUCACGCAGGAUCAGCUGGAGCUUGACAAAUACAUCGGCCAGCCAGUGAAUGCGAAGCUAGGCGAUAUCGACGGGUUGGCCGAGGAUUUUUCAGUAUUAUCACAGGAUGGAUCUGAUGAGGAAGGAAGACUGAUGAAUGAUUCUUCGUUGGCUGGAUCAUUCAGUGUUGUGCAAAAUAAUUCACACGAGUUCAACUCAUUAAGAUCUGAGAAAAGUUCCAUCGAUAACAACAAAUCUCCAUUUAAAAUCAAAAUAGGUGAAGACAAGGAAGGAGUGAUCUGCAGAGCAUUAUUGGCUGGCAAUUUGGAGCUAGCGGUGGACCUAUGUGUGCAGGAGAGCCGCAUGACAGACGCCAUAAUCCUAGCCCAGAUUGCAGGUCCUGACGUGCUGGCACGGACACAGUACAAGUACUUCCAGCAAAACCAGAGCUACCUGAGCCACCUGCUGUCUGCCGUCGUGACAAAGGACUGGAAUCAGGUCGUAUCCUGUUGUGACCUGAGCAGCUGGGCCGAGGCGUUGGCAGCUAUCCUGACCUACGCCAGUGACCACCAACUGCCAUCACUUUGUGAGAGGCUGGGAGACCGGUUGGAGAGGGAGGGAGGGAUGGACAGUCGCAGGAACUCUGAGAUCUGCUUCGUAGCCGCAGGUCAGCUGGGACACCUAAUACAGAAUAGGAUAGCUUCAGACCUCUCUACAGAAGCCUUACAGGAAUUGGUAGAACUGGUAUUGGUAGCCAAGAGGGGAGAUGUCCAAGACAAUGGAACAGCCUACUUGCUAGACCGCUACGCCAAGCUGUUAGCUUCCCAGGGUGACUUCAACACUGCCCUCGCUUACCUGACUUCUUCACAACAGGAAGAUAUCGAGGAACUGCGAGAAAGGUUGUACGUGGCGAGUGGACAGAAGCCAUAUCCUGCUUCUCAUGUACAGCAGAAUGUCCAGUAUAAGAACACCAUGCAGACGGGGCACUAUGGGAAGGCAGUGAAGCAGCAGCAACAACCCCCCUCCUACCAUCAGCCCCCUCUGUCCUCAUCCGCGUUCCCGAACUCUGCGCCGGCUCCUACGUACUCCAUGCCUGCAGCUACCCCUUCCCGCAAACCUUCUAUCAGCAAUCCUCUUGUCUCCUCUUUCCAAUCGUCCGCUCCUGCGAACUUUGCUUCUCCCAUGUCGAACUUUCCACCACCCAACACCCCUCCCUCCUUUCCUACAUCACAGCCGCUAUUUCCCCCACAACCACAACCCUCCUUUCCCACUGGACCUCCAGCUAAUUUCACUCCAGUUUCGUCUGCCUUCGCUCCUCCCCUGCCGUCCCAAAAAUCCUAUCAGCCUUCAAGUCUACCUCCUCCCCCUCCUGUGUCACGGACCCCUGUACACUUCAACUCCGAGACAGUUCCUCCUCCACCUUCAGUCACUCCAUCUGCCUUCUCACACAGGGGCAAUCCAAGUCCUUCUCUCGGAGGCAGUGCACGUAAAUAUGUGGUGGAUCCAUCCGUAGGCGGUGGAUCUUCUUUUAGGAGCCCAUCCAACACACAGUUCAACAGUAAUCCGUACGUGCCACAAUCUGCCCCACUCCCCUACAACGCGAUGCCUCCGCAGCCACAAUCGUUCGCCCAGCCUGCGUACAACAACCUGCCUCCGCAGCCACAGCAGCAGUCCUACAAUAGUCUUCCACCACAGCCGCAGCCACAAAUGUACAACAAUAUGGCACCUCAAUCACAAGUGUUCAACCCUCCAUCUUCUCUACCACCCAUCACAAGCCAACCAGAGCAUUUCCCCCCGCAACAGUUUGUGCCCAAGGCAACUGCUGCGCCAGGGUGGAACGACCCCCCAGCACUCUCAGGCUCUGCAAGAACCCAGUUGACGGGGGGCUGUAUGUCGGCCCGAACACGCAGGCACACGUCGCUGGGGCCACAUGUUGGCACAUAACAAGAUUAAAGAUGUUCAACAGCCGCCUCCUCCACCGAUAACACAUCCUCUGUUUGCCGUUCCCUCUCAGGAGAUGCCUCUACAGGGAGUCCCUCCGAUCUCAGUUCAGCAAGGAGUUGGUGGGGAAGGGGAAUCUCACCCAGGGU